GAAACUUGAGAAUAUAAUUGGGAAAACUAAAUUUAUGAAAGUCAAUCAUGUUUUAUAUAUAGGUGAAGAAGAAUUGAUGGUGUGGAUGGCAUUUUCACAAUCAAGUCCUCUUGGGAAAACAUUUUGAGUACGUUAAAUUAAUUUUCAGGACCGACAUCAGCAAGGUGGUGGAAUAUGACUUUUCAGCAUUUAUUCACUUACAGAAACAUCCAUCAAAACAACUAUCCAUGUGCAAAAGUAUCUUCAUAAAAACUAAGGAAACCAGCAGGUGCAAGCAAGCUCUGGGUACAGAAGACCACAUCUUGACCUUGAACAAUACUUAGCAUAUGUGCCAGCAGGAGGCUGCAGCACACCCCGAGCGACCACAACCAGAUGCAGCUGAGGCAAGGAUUCAAUUAUGGAGAAAAGAGGAUCGAUCUGUAAAGGCCUUUUAGGUGUUAGCAAGCAAAGCAUUAUUUGCUGCUUUUAAAUUUGCAACGUAAUUGAAUUUAGUGUGCACCACAGCAUACGAAGGAGGGUCUAUGUUUAAAUUAUUUGUGCCAAAGGGGAAAUUGUAAUUAAAAUUUUUUGAACAUUAUGGACGUGAGAGAAAGAAACCACAAAUGAGACCCCCUGACUGUGGCUGCCUCCAUUGUAAAUUGUGAAGCUGCAUAAGAACACAUCAAAUGCUAUUCUCUGAGAGAUAAAGAUAUAGGCGUGCGUAAAUUGAUACUUUCUCCAAAGAGAGAAAAUGAAUGGUGCCAAGUUUUUCUCAACUCAACCUUAGUUCUCAGUGGAUUUUGGACAACUGUCAUAAACAAUCGAACAGCCUGGUAAGACUAAACACAAGAAUGUGCUCCGUAUCUACAUUGCUUCAUUCAAAGUCCAUGUAACUUGUAUUAUGAUCUUUGGUAAUGCUUUCAGAAACAGAACAUAAUUUGACUAGCUAUAACUGCUAUUCAUAUAAGGACUGGCAAAUCUAACCUCAGUAAGCAGGGGUCAGUACUGUGAUAAUCUUGUAUGUCCUAUCAAAUUUUUGACUCUUAAAUAGUAAGGCUCAAAGGAGAUUUGGAGUUGAACAAAUAUAAUUUCUGAGUACCUGAAGGAACUACACUUGCUUGAGUUAGAGACAGCACAGGUUGCUACUAAAAUAAUUCCAAUGUAUAUAAAAUGAGACCCUAAUUUGUGGUUUCAGCUUGUUAAGGACUGAAUUACGUUCACCCCAGAAUUUAUAUUUAUAACCCCCAAUACCCCUGACUGUGACCAUAGAGGGUCUUUACAGGUAUGAUUAAGUUAAAAUGAGUUAAUUAAGGUUGGUCCUAAUCUAAAAUCACUGGUAUCCUUAUAAGAAGAGGAAAUUUGGACAUAGACAUGUACAGAGGGAAGAGGAUGUGAAAACAAGGCAGAAGAGUGCUAUCUAUAAGCCAAACAGAGAGAACUGGUACAGAGUCCUCCUCCACCUGCUUUAGAAGGAACCAACUCUGCUAUCACCUUGAAACGAGUUUGUCAAAAAUUCCGUGGAAAGUACAUUUGGUCAUUUUUGCUUUCCUUUCUACCUAAGUAGGGGAGAGACUAAAUAAGUUUUCCCUCUCUGCAAACUUAAAGUUUCCCUCCGACAGGUUGUUUCAUGGUGUAAUAAUCAGCUCUGGCUGCCAUAACAAAAUGUCAUAGACUGGGUGAUUUAAACAACAGAGACCUAUUUUUCCAAGUUCUGGAUGCUAAAAGUCUGAGAUCGGGGUGCCAGCAUGAUCUGGUUUGGUGAGGGAUCUUUUCCUGGCCUAUAGAAAGCUGCCUUCUCACAGUGUCCUCACAUGGCAGAGACAGAGUGUGCUUCUUCUUACAAGGGCACUACUAAUUCCUUCAUGAGGUCUCCAACCUUAUGACCUGAUCUAAACCUAAUUAUCUCCCAAAGGCCCCAUCUCCAUAUACCAUCAUAUUGGGGAUUAGGGCUUCAACAUAUGAGUUUGGGUGGUGGGGCAUACAAUUCAGUCAUAGCAGAUGGCCUCCAUUGAAGGGGGCUGGAGAGUAGUAAGCCCAUUCUGAUACCCAGGUAUAUCUUUCCAGGAACAUUCUUGUCAUUUAGGUUUUCCAUCUCUUGACUCUUGUUAUUUUCUCAAUUGUUUCAGAAAUUAGGUAGCCCAAAAGUGGGAAUGCUGGAUCAUAUGGUUGUUUUAUGAUUUUAAUUUCUUGAGGGACCCCCAUACUGUUUCCCACAGUGGCUGCAGUAAUUUACAUUCCAACCAAUAGUGCACAAGGAGAAUACAGGUGCUAUUUAUUGGGUCUCUCAAGGUCUCCAGGAAAGUACAACCUAAUUUUAGAUUAGACUGAUGGAAAGGAGACUGAGCUCUGCUUUGAAGUUAAUGAAAGUUUGUAUGAUAAUCACAAAUUCCAAUUUCUUUUUCAAACUGCCAAAAUCAAUUCUUUUUCUGCCUUGUCCAUUUUCCUGAGACACUGCUCAGUUCCCUGAGACAUUAACGAGGCCUUGAUAAACAUCAUAUUUAAGAAUAUCACCCGGAUUAACUUUGCCCUAGAGUUGUUUUCACUUCCAAGACUUUCUUUUGAUGUGUAUUGUACCAGGAACAGAUGAACAAACCACAUUUGGGAUUGUUAAACUAUUUCUCAAAAUAUUUUUCAAAUUUUUAAAAACCAAAAUGCAUCCUCAUAAACACUUUUCCCAUUAAAGCAAUGUGUGUUGUAGAGAAAAUUCUUUCCAUAUGGUUCUGAUUCGUUUACACUUAACUCAUCAAAAAGCUGUUUAGGGAAAAAAAAUACUUGAUUGCCUAGGAAAUUGUUUUCAUCUUUUUAUUUUAAAAACAGAAUAAGUUAUCCAGAGUAAACAAAAUUUAAAGUGGACAGUUGAUAUCUGAAUUCCAUUUUGGUGUUCUAAGCUUCAUUGUUCUACACUCAAGAAUUCACAUUGCCAUAUCCAGACCAAACAAUUACUGCAGUAUCUAUAAAUGUGUAUUGCUCUCUAGAAAAAUACAAAGAUGUAGUUGUUGUCCCAUAUACCACUGUUAUAAUAACCUAUUCUGAAAAUAUAACUCAGUUAAAACACAAUAUAACGAAGAUUACUAAAACCAGGUCCCAGAUUAAAUAAGUGCAUUACUAAAACAUGUGUUUCAAAGAAUACUGGAAUAAAAAUAUUGAUAGUGCUAACUUCUAUAGGGAUUUGGAGAUGAAAACAAUAAUUUAAUAUGAAGUUAUACUUAUUUUAUACUUGAAAUUGAGCUCAGGUUUACCAGUGAUGAAUAGAGUAUGUCCUUAAGGGCUGUUCUUAACUCUUGAAACAACUCACAACUUGGGAAUGUGAAUGUUAUUGAAUCAGAAAUGGGUCUUACCAAUAAACUUUGAAAGAUAAUAAAAACUGAUAUUGAAGUGUACCUCCAAAAUUAUGAUUUUUAACACAUUUUGGAAAGUUAAUAUAUUCUAACCAGAGAGGCCACAUUUCAGCUUUACUACCUUGUGAGUUAUCACACAAAUGCACAUUAGCAACACUAUAAUAUUUCAUGGAAGGCACAAAUUAGAAUGACAUGUUGAAAAAUGUUUUAAUAUUUAAUCAUAAUUAAAUAAGGCCAUGAGUACCUAACUUCAAACUUUUAGUUGUAAAUUGAAUCAAUUCAGAUAUCAAUUAUAUGCAAAUGGAUACAAUUUGCAAUAUUCAGAUGAUUAACAUGGUAUAGGCAUACUACUAGUGGGAUAUUAACUUUUUUUUAAUAAUCAGGUUAUGUAGGGAAUAGAGAAGUUCUUCUUCAAAGUUGCCUAAAUCCAUAAAAGGUGUAUCAUUCCCUGGUUAAAUGUUUGAAUGUGCAUAUUCUGAGGUGGCUCCAACAUGUUCCAGCCAGUUGAGAUAAGGCUAAAUGAGUCCCGGAUCCAGAUGCAUGACAUUCCUUAUUUGGGAACCCCUCUGACCUCUUAUCAUUAAUUUCCUCUUUCUUUGUCCUCUUUUCCCUUCUGCCUAUUUAGGAAAGCUUAAGAUUUUUAGCCAAUCAAGUUAAGUUUAGAGUGUGAGGUCCCACCCCAGCCAAUGGGAACAGGACACAGCCAUAGAGGAUUGCAUCAAGACGUAAAAGUUAUAAAUGUCCUUGUUUCCUUUGUUUGGUAUGCUCUCCUUACUAGACAGCUGACGAGUGCACCCUUUCUGCAGAAAGUAAACUAGCCUUGCUGAAGAAUCCUUUGUCUCGGUGUUGAUCUUUCAGGACAUCGAACACCCUUGCCCAACAGGUUAUUAAUCAUUAUAUUCCUCCAGAUUAUUUGUACCAAUAGAUUAACAACAUUCAAAGAUGUGAAAUAGAAAUUAAUGAAGAAAAAUUAUCUCCUCAGCAGAGUAUGGUCAGUUAUGUUCUGUAAAACAUGUAUAUAAACAAACAUCUGCCUCCUAACAGAUUUCUUUUGUAAAAUCAUACUAAAUAAUUAUGACAGUCAUUUUGAAUGUCUAUAUAUUUUCAAUCAAAAUUGUCUUGCCUUUUAGAAAUGCUGUCUUAAUCUUUUACACAGGAAAACUGAGGAUCAGAGCAGUAAUGUAACUUCUGAAGCUAAUACAAAACUAGGUUUGCCUUGAAACAAAGUCUGGAUUGUUCUAAUGAAUAAGUUCUUCGCAGUAUAAUGCUAUUUCUCUCAAAUCUCUUAAUUAGAGUCUGAGAUAAUUUUCUCUUUAACAGGGACUGCUGCAUAUUUUUACAAGUUAUUCCUGGCUAAAAUUCAGUAACAUGCAUAACUUUGUAAGAUGUUUUUCUUUAAAGGCAUAGUUUCACAUUUACUUAUUAUUAAUAUAUAACAAAAAUUGACAAAAUACAGCUCAUAAGUAAAAUCUAUCUUUCCACCUAUUUUUUGUACAGCUUGGGAAAUAAGAAUGGUUUUAAUACUUUUAAAUGACUAAAAAAAAAGAAUAAUAUUUCAUGAUGUGAAAGUUAUAUGAAAUUUGAAUUUCAAUAUCCGUAAAUAAUGUUUUAUUGGAACACAGCCACACUCAUUUGCUCAUUGUCCAUUGCUGUUUCUGUGCUACAAUGACAAAAUUAAGUAAUUUCCAUAAUGACUAUAUGGCCUGGAAAACCUAAAAUAUUUAUGACCUGGCCCAUUACAGAAACAUUUUCUGAUCCUUGAUAUAUAAUAAUAUAUUAAUAGUAUAUGCAAUUUACCAUUUAAAUAAUAUGAUCACC
rnacentral:lncRNA from 1 species